rnacentral:rRNA from 1 species
CCUUACCUACCCUUGACAUGGAUGGAACUUCGAAGAGAUUUGAAGGUGCCCGAAAGGGAACCAUUACACAGGUGCUGCAUGGCUGUCGUCAGCUCGUGUCGUGAGAUGUUGGGUUAAGUCCCGCAACGAGCGCAACCCUUGUCAUUAGUUGCUACGAAAGGGCACUCUAAUGAGACUGCCGGUGACAAACCGGAGGAAGGUGGGGAUGACGUCAAGUCCUCAUGGCCCUUAUGGGUAGGGCUUCACACGUCAUACAAUGGUACAUACAGAGGGCCGCCAACCCGCGAGGGGGAGCUAAUCCCAGAAAGUGUAUCGUAGUCCGGAUUGUAGUCUGCAACUCGACUACAUGAAGUUGGAAUCGCUAGUAAUCGCGGAUCAGCAUGUCGCGGUGAAUACGUUCCCGGGUCUUGUACACACCGCCCGUCACACCAUGGGAGCGGGUUUUACCAGAAGUAGGUAGCUUAACCGCAAGGAGGGCGCUUACCACGGUAGGAUUCGUGACUGGGGUGAAGUCGUAACAAGGUAGGCGUAGACGU